AUCAUAUCUAUAUGCAAUUAGAUCAUAUCUAAUUUAUAUUUAGAUCAUAUCUAAAUAUAAAUCAAAAUUAAAAUUUCAUACCUGAGUGCGGAUAGAAAAUCAUCAUAUUCGAAGUCUGUGGUAGUUGGUUCUUCAUGAUGCUCGACAGCUGCACACAUGUUCGACCUCUACAGGUAUCCACACGAAGCCCAUGUACUGAUCGAUGACCCCA
rnacentral:lncRNA from 1 species